CUCAUCUCUCUCAACCCUUUCAUCUCUCUCAUCUCUCUCGUUCUUCAAACCCUAGCAGUCCAAGUUCCACCAUUGUUACAGAGCAAAGGAACUCCAUUUUUUCCUCCCAAAAAAUCCGUCUCCACAACCUUCCUUCAUCCCUGACUUUUAGUCUCUCACCAUAACCCCCAAAUCGUCACUAAGCGGAGCCAAGUCUGGACUUGAAAAGGGAAGAAGACGAAAAGAUUUUUCUAGUUUGGGGCUGAAGAUUAAAAUCGAAACUGGUCUCGUUCGUCCGUUCUUGACAAGAACGCAUGAUUGAGACUAAUUUCAGCUCAAAGUCGAUGAGUUCGAGUUCCUUCAAGUUUGGUCCAUGUUCAGCUGUUGAAUAGGUAUUCCUGAUUCUCUAAGAGAUGAAAUGCAAAAAUGAAAGUUGUAAUUGCCAGAAGUUUUUCAUGAAUAAAUGACUGUUUCUCUUUAAAUCUUUAAUGUCAAUUAUUUGUUUAAGAUUUCCUCGAAUCAUAUAGAGUAGAGUAAUGAUAUUCAGCCUAGUUUGUUCAUCUUAGUAUAGUAGUAGUAUUUUGGGGAUUCAUGCUGCCCUUUUGUUUAGUCAGAGAUUUGUGGACUGUUCGUUGGUUUGAACAUGUGAGGGACUGUAUAUAUGGACUGUUUGUUUAAGACAUUUUGGUUAUGCAUAUGUUCAGUUAUAUGAUUAAGUUUGUUUUUA